AGCUCGCAGAGCAGGAUGUAUCAGUGGACGAAAGAUACAUACGAUCUUACAUCUUCAAAAUGGUAUGUAAGCUCGUUUUAGUAUCUUUCGUCUCUGAUCACAUUCAAUUAAGGUAAUACA
rnacentral:pre_miRNA from 15 species